rnacentral:rRNA from 1 species
CCUACGGGUCGCACCAGUAGGGAAUCUUCGGCAAUGGACGAAAGUCUGACCGAGCAACGCCGCGCGAGUGAAGAAGGUUUUCGGAUCGUAAAACUCUGUUGUUAGAGAAGAACAAGGACGUUAGUAACUGAACGUACCCUGACGGUAUCUAACCAGAAAGACACGGCUAACUACGUGCCAGCAGCCGCGGUAAUACGUAGGUGGCAAGCGUUGUCCGGAUUUAUUGGGCGUAAGGCGAGCGCAGGCGGUUUCUUAAGUCUGAUGUGAAAGCCCCCGGCUCAACCGGGGAGGGUCAUUGGAAACUGGGAGACUUGAGUGCAGAAGAGGAGAGUGGAAUUCCAUGUGUAGCGGUGAAAUGCGUAGAUAUAUGGAGGAACACCAGUGGCGAAGGCGGCUCUCUGGUCUGUAACUGACGCUGGGGCUCGAAAGCGUGGGGAGCAAACAGGAUUAGAUACCCCUGUAGUC